rnacentral:lncRNA from 1 species
GUUAUAAGAAAAUUGGGCGAUGUCGAGUAGCUUCGCCCAAUCCCGCUGGUGAGCGCUCACAUAAUGCCUCAAGUACAUCUCGAGAAGGCCAUUGAUGCGCUCGGUCUGCCCAUCCGUUUGUGGGUGGAAGCUUGUUGAGAACUUGAGAUCGGUCCCCAACAUUUUGAAGAGCUCCGUCCAAAAACGUCCAGUGAACCGAGGGUCUCGGUCGCUCACAAUGCUCUUCGAACUCCCCAAAGCUUCACAAUGUACUUGACGAAUAGGCGGGCUGCCUCAUCCGCUUUGCAAUCGACGGGUGCGGCAAUGAAUGUAGCAUACUUGCUGUAUCGGUCGACAACGACCAUGAUGCUACCGCAACCAUCGGACUUGGGCAGCGAUGUGAUGAAGUCCAUGGAGACACUUUCCCAUGGCCUUGUUGCUAGUGGUAGCGGUUCUAACAAUCCCGCUGGAAGUUGAUGAUCCACUUUAUCUUGUUGGCACACAAGACAAGUUCGCACAUAUGCCUCGAUGUCGUCCCUCAUGUGCGGCCAAAAAUACGAGGCUUGGACUAGUGCGGUGGUGCGCUCGAUUCCUGGGUGACCAGCCCACUUAGAGUCGUGGCACUCUUUGAUUACUUCCUUCCGCAAGUUUCCCCACCUUGGCACGAACAGCCGAUCUCCCUUGGUGAGGAGGAUGCCUUCCUCUUGCCAAAACCGCCUUGUCUUUCCCUCGAGCACCUUCUCCCAGCAAAUCCUUUGCUAGCGGAUCUUGUUGGAGGCCUUCCUUGAUGCGUGAGACAAGGUCAGACUUCGGUUGGCUCAUGCUAAGUGUUGCCAAUUCCGCCUUGCGGCUUAGAGCGUCCCGCAACAACAUUGGCUUUCCCCGGUUUGUACUCUAGCCGAUAGUCGAAUUCCGCAAGGAAAUCUUGCCACCGUGCUUGCUUCGGACUCAACUUCUUUUGAGUUUGAAAGUAGCUUGUCGCCACGUUGUCCGUCAUGAUUGUAAAGUGCGAGCCAAGCAAGUAAUGUCGCCACACUUUUAGACAAUGGAUGAUGGCUGUCAUCUCCUUUUCUUGCACCGGUGUAGCGGCGUUCUGUAUCAUUUAGCUUUCGACUCUCGAAUGCUAAGAGGGUGGCCUUCUUGCAUGAGGACUCCUCCUAUGGCAAAAUCCGAGGCAUCCGUUUGCACUUCGAAGGGCUUUGUGUGGUCCGGAAGGGCGAGGACUGGUUCCUCCGAAAUUGCCUUCUUCAACUCCUCGAAUGCCCGUUGGCACUCUUCAGACCAAUGCCAUGUUCUGUUUUUCUUGAGCAUAUCCGUCAAGGGUGCCGCCUUGCUGAAUAGCCCUUGAUGAAGCGGCGGUAGUAGUUCACCAGCCCAAGGAAUGAGCGAAGCUCGGGUACUUUCGAGGGAGGCUCCCAUUCGAGGAUGGCCUUUACUUUGUCAUUCUCCAUCAUGAUCUUCCCGCCCGCAAUCUUGUGGCCAAGGAACUCCACCUCUUGUUGGGCAAACGAGCACUUCUCUAGUUUGAGGAAGAGCUCAUUGUCUCGAAGAACUUGGAGGACUUGUUGCAAGUGUUGGGCAUGCUCCUCGAGCGUGGUGCUAUACACCACUAUGUCAUCCAAGUACACGACCACGAAGCGGUCGAGGAAUGGUUGGAGCACCUUGUUCAUGAGUGUGCAAAAUGUGGCGGGUGCAUUAGUAAGGCCAAAAGGCAUCACAAGGAAUUCGAAAGACCCGUACCUUGUUGUGCCACGCUGUCUUUUGUUCAUCUCCCUUGCGAUGCGCACUUGGUAGUACCCGGAGCGCAAGUCAAGUUUGGUGAAGUACCGUGCUUUACCAAGCUGGUCGAACAAGUCCGCAAUCAAGGGAAUCGGAUACUUGUUCUUGAUGGUGAUCUUGUUGAGCGCUCUAUAGUCGAUGCACAUCCGCAGCGAUCCAUCCUUUUUCUUUUGGAAGAGGACCGGUGCACCGAAUGGGGCCUUUGAGGGGCGAAUAUAGCCUGCGUCCAGCAAGUCUUUGAGUUGUCUCCGCAACUCCUCUAAUUCGGGUGGCGCCAUGCGGUAGGGCGCCAAGGCUGGUGGCUUCGCGCCUUGUUCCAGCUCGAUCGCAUGAUCUACCUCUCGCAGAGGUGGGAGCUUCUUCGGAAGUUCUGGAGGCAUCACGUCCUUGUACUUAUUGAGGACGGCUUGAAUUUGCGGAGGGACUUGGCUUGGCGAAGUUCCGCUAUUUCCUUCCUCAUUUAGUUCCCGAAUGGAGACUAAGAAGCUUGGGUCCUUCUUGAAAGCCUUCUUGAAUUGCAUGGCGGAGAGUGUCUUCUCUUCGGACUUGCCUCGUUCCGUGGGAACCAUGCAUGCCUUACUCCCGUCGAGGAUACUUAGGGAGUUUGUAGCGGGCAGCGGGAAGGCAUGGACUUGGUCGAAGAAUUCCAUGCCGAGGACCAUCUUGAAGUCAUCCAUGGGCACAAUGGAGAAGUCAAGCUUUCCGCUCCACGUACCAAGUGUGAUGUGCACGCCUUGUGCAAUUCCCGCAAUUGGUUUGGCGGGUGAGUUUACUGCCUUCAUUGUGCCUCCUUCCUUGGUGGCCUUGAGGCCUAAACGCUUGGCCUCAUCUACGGACACGAAAUUGUGUGUUGCUCCCGUGUCUAGCAGUGCGCGAACGGACUGACCGUUACCUUUGCGCUAACAUACAUGAGCCCUUUCUUGACUAGUGCGGGCUGUUGGCGAUUGAGUGCGCCGAGGCGUUGGAGAGAACCCAUGCUGAGUUGGGGUUCCUCCAUGGACAUUGUGGGGUUGCUCUUGAGUUGGGCAGCAAGAGCGUUAAGCGACCUCUUCUCCGGACAGUCGCGCACCCAAUGAGGACCAUUGCAUAUGAAGCAUGGGCUUCGCGGCUUUGGCGCCCUUCUUGCCCUCCGAUUUUCCUUGCCAACUCUUGUUGCUAGGUGGCUUUUUUCUGCCCCCAAUCUUUGCGGUUGUUGCCCUUGUCCUUGCGACUCUCUCCCCACCUUUGCCUUGGUUGGCCUUUUUGUCCUUGGAUUGGGUAGAGUACUCAGUGAGCGACUCCGCAACGGCAAUGGCGUCGUCAAGUGUUUGAACACCACGCCUAUCAAGCUCGGUCUUGGCCCAAUCCUUGAGGCCAUCUUGGAAGUAGAAGAGUGAAUCCUUGUCGGACAUGUCGCUUAUCUCCAACAUGAGGGUAGUGAACUCGUUGAUGUAGUCCCGAAUGCUACCCGAUUGCUUGAGGCGACGUAAGCGCACUCGCGCUUCCUUCUCCGCAUUGCUUGGGCGAACUGCUUUCGGAGUUCUUCUUGAAGUCGGCCCAAGUAUCGAUGGUGCAAUGCCCUUGCCAUCUCGCCAUGCUUGCGACGCACCAUAGUUGUGCAGCGCCUCUAAGAUAGGUGGGUGCAGUGCCCACUUUCGAUGCCUCAUCUCGGACACCCAUGGCAUCGAAG